CCUACGGGAGGCUGCAGUCGAGAAUCAUGCACAAUGGGGGAAACCCUGAUGGGGCGACGCCGCGUGGGGGAAUGAAGGUCUUCGGAUUGUAAACCCCUGUCAUGUGGGAGCAAAUUAAAAAGAUAGUACCACAAGAGGAAGAGACGGCUAACUCUGUGCCAGCAGCCGCGGUAAUACAGAGGUCUCAAGCGUUGUUCGGAAUCACGGGGCGUAAAGCGUGCGUAGGCGGUUUCGUAAGUCGUGUGUGAAAGGCGCGGGCUCAACCCGCGGACGGCACAUGAUACUGCGAGACUGGAGUAAUGGAGGGGGAACCGGAAUGCUCGGUGUAGCAGUGAAAUGCGUAGAUAUCGAGAGGAACACUCGUGGCGAAGGCGGGUUCCUGGACAUUAACUGACGCUGAGGCACGAAGGCCAGGGGAGCGAAAAGGAUUAGAUACCCUAGUAGUC
rnacentral:rRNA from 1 species